rnacentral:snRNA from 1 species
ACUUUUAUACUUGGUGGCAUA